rnacentral:lncRNA from 10 species
GGUCGCUUCUCGCAGGCGGCGCGCUUGCUGGGUCACAGUGAGGCGGCUCCGCGCAGGCGCAGCCGGGCGGGCGAGGAGCGGGGAAGCUGACUCAGGGCUGCGGCCGGGGUCCUGCGGGGUAGGAGCGCGAGGCCGGCCUGAGGGAGGAGGCCUAGCGACCCAUCCGGCGCCUCCCGCCCCGGGCACCCGCCCGCGGCCGCGCAUCCUGCGGGCCCCAGGAGGCCUCCAUCUCAAAACAACGUGUUUUUAGAGAACUCAAGGGCUGUGAAAAGAGCAGGACCUCACCAGCUGCACGGCGGUGGUGACUGGCUCCAUCUUGCUGUCCCUCCCAAUCACACAACAUCUCCCCUUGAAGGCUCUGCCCAGGCCCGGACUCCCACCUUUCAAGAUGUCUGGAUCAGUGCAGGACCUCCUCCUUGGCCACAUCGCUCUCCUUGGACUGGUUCGUUAACCCUGUUUUACCCACAGCUGGAGUGCAAUGACUCGGUCUCGGCUCAUUGCAACCUCCGCCUUGCAGGUUCAAGUGAUUCUCCCACCUCAGCCUCCCAAGUAGGAUUACAGUGUUGACUCACCUGUGGAGUGGUCUGAGCCUGAAUGCCCGGGGCUGUGGCCACCGAGUGAACGGGCUGUGCUAAGGGGAAUUGCCACCUUGGGAAACCUGUGUAGUUGCGGCUUUUCUGAUUAAGUAUCAAUAAAAGUCUGACCUUGUGAAAAAAGCAAACGUGAGUGGCCCUGCUUAUGUUUCACCUUGCGUUGCUCAGUGAUAGUUCUGCAAAGUCGCAGGAAACCUGGAAUCAUCUAAUUAUCGUGAGUGUUGGUGAGUAACACCCAUAGGCACUGGCUCCCGGGGAAAUACAGAGUCAGGUUCCUCCGAGCCGCUGGCCACAGCAUUUUUGUUAAGCA